UACGUAGGGGGCAAGCGUUGUCCGGAUUUAUUGGGCGUAAAGAGCGUGUAGGCGGUUUGGUAGGUCCGCUGUGAAAACUCGAGGCUCAACCUCGAGACGCCGGUGGAAACCAUCAGACUAGAGUCCGGAAGAGGAGAGUGGAAUUCCUGGUGUAGCGGUGAAAUGCGCAGAUAUCAGGAGGAACACCGGUGGUGUAGACGGCUUUCUGGACCGUAACUGACGCUGAGACACGAAAGCGUGGGUAGCAAACAGG
rnacentral:rRNA from 1 species